UACGUAGGGUGCGAGCGUUGUCCGGAAUUACUGGGCGUAAAGAGCUCGUAGGUGGUUUGUCGCGUUGUCCGUGAAAACUCACAACUCAAUUGUGGGCGUGCGGGCGAUACGGGCAGACUGGAGUACUGCAGGGGAGACUGGAAUUCCUGGUGUAGCGGUGGAAUGCGCAGAUAUCAGGAGGAACACCGGUGGCGAAGGCGGCUCGCUGGACCGGUUCUGACGCUGAGGCGCGAAAGCGUGGGGAGCAAACGGG
rnacentral:rRNA from 1 species